rnacentral:lncRNA from 1 species
UCAUCAUCAUCUCCCUAGUCUCUCUCUCCCCUGUACACUCUCUCUAGAUACCACUUCCACAACCAGCCUCUCCACCCAAUCCACCACCAUAUCUCCACCACGGCACCACCCACGCACACACAGCAUACCUUUACGCCUUUCUCUCUCUCUCUCUAAUAUCGAUGAAAUCUCUCUAUAUCUUCUUCAACUCCAACCCUUGAAAAAACUCUAUGAUUGGUUCCUCCAUCUUUUUCCUCACUGGUCACGGCUAAUAAUCGAAUCAAAUCAUUCAAUCGUGUUUCACUUUCCUCAAAUUCUCCACUUCACAUCCAUUCUUCAUCUUUAAUUUUCCUUUUUCUGUUAAAUGAAACUAGAUCUAGGUCUUUUUCUACUCGUUUUACCUACUAUUUGAUUCAAUUCAUCAAUAAUCUCCUAGGUUUUAGGAAUUGAUGAUUGUUCAACAAAUCUCGGUGAGGUUUAUUUCUAAUUGUAUGGUUUAUAAUUGGGUUAAUUGAUGUCAACAUUCUGACAUGUGAAUAUAUAUAUUUUAUUAAAUGACUGUUUUGCCCUUUUAUGGGUUGCACAUGUUCUCACUUAACUGAAAGUUCUAACUAGGUUAGGGUCAAAGGACCUAAGGUGUAACAGGUUUUGCAAAUAAAGGACUAUGAUUGUAAUUAUUAAAAUUAAAGGUCAUCUAUUGCAACCCGCUACAAACAUAAAGGACGAAAAGUGUAAUUUAUUCUUAUUUUUAUUUCUUACACAAGUAGUCCCUUGAAUAUUAAGUUAUUUACUCAAUAGUCUUUAGGGAGGUAAAACAAUAAGAAUACCCUCAUAUGCAAAGCACAUGACCAUAAUUAACUAAAAAAUCUAAUUGGGUUUGCCCUAAAGGUUAAAACUUGCAAGAUUUUGAAACAUAAAACACAAAACUUGCAAACUUUUGCGCUAUAAGACACCGCCUGCAAAAUGAUGUAAACAUAAAGGAUCGGUGGUCCUUGUGGUUUGAUAAUUUGUUACACGGAUAGUCCAUGGAGUGGAUGGACGCUAGUUUUCUCAGUUAAGUUAAUGUAAAAAAGACUAAAUUACCCUUACUAAGAAUUUAGUUAUUUAGUUAUAAACACAAACAAACUGCUUCAAUUCCAACUCAAAUCCACAUCAACAAGAACAAAAAAUAUCUGAUCCAUUUGUAAGAACAAUUAAACAAACCGUACAUUGGGUCUGAGUGCAGCAACUUCGACUCUAAUAAGUUUCAAGUUUUCUA